rnacentral:rRNA from 1 species
GACGAACGCUGGCGGCGUGCUUAACACAUGCAAGUCGAACGGUAAGGCCCUGCUUUUGUGGGGUGCUCGAGUGGCGAACGGGUGAGUAACACGUGAGUAACCUGCCCUGGACUUUGGGAUAACUUCAGGAAACUGUGGCUAAUACCGGAUAGGAGCUCCUGCUGCAUGGUGGGGGUUGGAAAGUUUCGGCGGAUGGGGUUGGACUCGCGGCUAAUCAGCUUGUUGGUGGGGUAGUGGCUUACCCAGGCUUUGACGGGUAGCCGGCCUGGGAGGGUGACGGGCCACAGUGGGACUGAGAUACGGCCCAGACUCCUACGGGAGGAAGCAGUGGGGAAUAUUGCACAAUGGGCGGAAGCCUGAUGCAGCAACGCCGCGUGCGGGAUGACGGCCUUCGGGUUGUAACCCGCUUUCGCCUGGGACGAAGCGUGAGUGACGGUAAUGUGUAAAGAAGCACCGGCUAACUACGUG